rnacentral:rRNA from 1 species
GACGAACGCUGGCGGCGUGCUUAACACAUGCAAGUCGAACGGAAAGGCCCUGCUUUUGUGGGGUGCUCGAGUGGCGAACGGGUGAGUAACACGUGAGUAACCUGCCCUUGACUUUGGGAUAACUUCAGGAAACUGGGGCUAAUACCGGAUAGGAGCUCCUGCUGCAUGGUGGGGGUUGGAAAGUUUCGGCGGUUGGGGAUGGACUCGCGGCUUAUCAGCUUGUUGGUGGGGUAGUGGCUUACCAAGGCUUUGACGGGUAGCCGGCCUGAGAGGGUGACCGGCUACAUUGGGACUGAGAUACGGCCCAGACUCCUACGGGAGGCAGCAGUGGGGAAUAUUGCACAAUGGGCGGAAGCCUGAUGCAGCAACGCCGCGUGCGGGAUGACGGCCUUCGGGUUGUAAACCGCUAUCGCCUGUGGCGAAGCGUGAGUGACGGUAAUGGGUAAAGAAGCACCGGCUAACUACGUG